rnacentral:lncRNA from 1 species
GGAUUUGAAGGCGUUAUUGGAAUCCGAUGGAGGCGUAUAAAUAGUCAAAACGAAGCUCUCGACGCGUAGAAUCUAGUACAAUCAUCCGUUUAUAUGCAGAUUCAACAGGUGAUUUUAGAUUAUUUUUCUAAAAUUCGAAUUAAUCUGAUUUAAAUGAUGAAUUUUCGCAAACUUGGUUGUGUGAUUGUUUUGAUGAUUCCAUGUUGUAGUACGUGUUUUUCUCGUCGUUUUGGUAUAUUAUAUGUUGAAUUUUGAGUCCAGAAUCAUAUAGAAAACGCCGUUUGAUUUCAAAAUAUGUGUGUUCUUCGUGUUCUUGAAGCAUUCAUCGGAAAGUUUAAGUUUUUGCCGGACUUUGAGUUUUAAGAAAUCUGGGCAGUAGUGGAAUAUAUGAAUAGAAAUAGGAGAGAAAGGGGAGUAUGCUGGUGUGCUUGGUUCGAGCGGAGGUGGCUCGAAUCGCCGCCAUCGGCGGCGGGAAGUCGCCGACUUCGGCCGGAUUUUCCGGCGAAUUCGCGCGACUUCUGCCUAAUUAAAGAUUGGGGAUUGAUUUAUGAGUGUGUGUGAGACAUAUCUGCACCUUUACAGCAAGUUCUGAGAUGCGUGGGUGGUUUUCCGGCGAAACCAGCGGUGGCCGGCGGCAAAUUGCCGUUUGGUAACCGAACUUGUGAAGAUGGUGAAGUUACGAUACCCAGGUUUCAAAACUGAUAAAACACCCCCUGUAAGUUUUAAAAAGUUGCAGUUUAAACCUUGCGACAAAGGUUUCAAUAGUUACAAAAUAAACCUUUUGAUUUAAUUUUCUAAAAUUGUGUUUCAUUAAUUAUUUUAAAUUUCAAAAAUAGUUUUUAAUUAUUUCUUUAUUCAAAAAUAAAUCUAAAUUAGUUUGUUAAUUAAUUUUAAUUAGUAAUUAAUUAUUUUAAUUGGUCAAUUAAUUUAAUAUUAAUUGAUUAAUUAUUUUAGUUAAUUAUUAAUUGAUUUUAAUUGAUUAAUUAAUUAGAUUUAAUUGUUCCUUUUGAUUUAAAAAUUCCGAAAAAUAGUUUCGAGCUUUAAAUCAUUUCUCUAAAAUAUGUUUGAGGCUCGUUAAUUGAUUUCAAAUGAUUUCGGAUCCGAUCUUGAGCAAUCGGACUUGAUUAUUUAUUCAAAAAUGGAUUCUUUUACUUGUUUUAAUUCCGAAAAAUGUCUAGAAAUUCCAGAAAAUUCCCGAAAAAUCAUUUUUAACCCAAGACUUGAUUUGACAUCAAUCGGGAUGGGAGACCUUAUAUGAAAUAUGUUGUCUGCUAUCUGUUUGAUAUGUUAUGUGCCGAUAGGAGAGUUAGAAAACGGUUUUGAUCAUAUCUUUUGAUCCGUAAUUCAGAAUCAGGUGAAACGAAAGGGAGACGAAAGCUUAUGGAGUCUAUUUUAAUAUGGCAAGAUAAUAUGAUCGAGUCUAGAAUGUAAUUAUAUGUCAUGAAAUAUGCAAUAUGUGUCAAUAUGCAACUUGUCUGCUAUGAAUUGAUGAUUACGUGAUAUACGUGGCUAUUCCUAAUAUUAUACAUAUGUGAUAAAUGACUUAUAUGACAUAGUGUCGUGAAUUGAUUGAUAUUGGAUAAGAAUAUAUGGAUAGUGAUUGAAUUGUGUUGGUUGAUGGUUGAUUGAGAUAGGAUAACAGGUGGAUAGUCUUAUACAUAGACGAGACGAUGUCGGAUUUUCGAUAAGGAUUUAUAUGAUAAUUGAUUUGUGAUAUGUUAUGUGGAAUAUGAUUGACUAUAUGUUAGAGUCAAAGCAUGAUUAUGUGAUAAGUGAUAUCUAAUAGGUUUAAAGGGUUAUAUAAGGGGGUAUCGAUAUACGUGAUGUGUAUGUACAAUAGAUUGUUUAGUGAUUAUAGUAUUGUCUUAUUCUCGUUAAGGAUUUGGACGAGACGUAUACGAUUGAAGACAUUCAGAAGGUCAAAUGAUGAUGCAAAGCAAAUGAGAAAUGAAUCGAAGAGACGAAGUCGUAUUACGAAUAGAGUAUAUACAGAGAUGGUCUGGAGGUUAUGAUAUGCAUAGAUUGUGAGUGGGAAAGAUAAGAUUAAGCUGUGUGUGGAAGCGGAUUUAAGGCAAGUAUUCCUAAAUCCUUCCUCAUAUAUAUAUUGCAUGUUCUGAUUAUUCUGUCAAGAUUAUGAUAUUGUUUAUGCUGAGACCCUUCUCAAACAAACUCUUACUUCUGAGAAUGAAUCCCAUGAUUGUUUUCUUCUUCCAAGUUUUGAAAAGCCAAACACCUAAUUACUCUCAACUUUCUAUUUUGAUCCAUUCUUUCCAAUCCUCAAGAUUUUAAAAAUACCAGUUCUACAAAUUAAUUCGAAGUUCAGACCGUCAUUGAAGCAUGUGUUGCUCAGUGAUAGUUAGAGCCUAGAAUGAAAUGGGAUCUUCUUGAUUAUUCAACCCGCCAUUGUCAUGCUGGUUUAGCAGGCUAAAUUCAGUUGCUUAGCCGAUAAUGGAGGAUACUGAAUAGUUAGGAAUUUCCUGAACUAUGAUUUAUCAAAAGACAGACUGUGGUUUAUGAAAUGUUGAUUCCCAAAAGUUGAUUUGAAAUAUUUCUGUUGCUGAUAAUGAUUAUGAUUCUGUUCUGUUGAUUCAGUUGUCUGUUGAUUUAAAUUGUUAGAAGUGGAUUAGUUUUUAUAAAAUAUGUGGACCAGAUUCGUGGUCAGACCAGAUUCGUGGUCAAUUAUAGGCCAAUGUGUGCCUUGGAUCCAGUAUAGAGAACAGGGCUGUGUGCCAUGUUCGGGGUUAGUGCGUGACUGAUCAGCAGCCUAACCUUUGGUUUUUAAGUAAAAAUGUGAUGAAUCCAAUUCGACAAUUCUUCUGCAAGUUUGAUUUCUGAUUUCAAUGGCUGAUAAGAAUUGUGAAGUUUUCAAUUGCAUAUCCUGAACUUGUGAACCCUGAUUAAAUAUUUCAGGACUAUUGUUGCUUAUAAACACUUGCUGAGCAUUGUUGCUCACCCUUGCUAUUCCUUUUUAACCAUUUCAGAAAAGCUUAAAGGUGAAUUGCAUAAUUGAGAUUGCGAGUAUGGCUAAGGCUAAGCGAAGAGUCAGAGUCAUAGAAUAUCCAGAGGACAAGUGGAAUAUUCAGGGAGAUUGACAAGGUUGGUUCUAGAUAGAAUUGUAUUGAUGAGGUUCAGUUGUAAGUCAUAAUUGAAAUAGAUUGACAGUGAUUCUUCUUAUCGAAGAUGAUCUGAGUUUGUAAGACAUUGUUUAUUGCUAGUGGUUGAUUCUAAUUUCAAUACUGUAACCUGGAUGCGAUCCUGUUUUUAGGGGGUUAAAGUGUUUUCUUUAAAUCUUUUAUUAAAGUCUUCAAGCUUUAAAUCCUUUAAUUUUAUUUAUCUUUUCAAUAAUACAGGUUUUUAAAAGUGUUUUAAAAUGGUUUUGUGUGGUGACGUCAGAAUCCAGACCCCCGGAUUCUCGGGUUGUCACAAAUGGGGUCUAUAGAGACAUAGUUUGGGUGUUAAUGUAGGUCAUUUAUGACGUAGUGCGGUGAUAAGUGGUAUUUAUACACACUUAUAGUCCUUCAUUUCCGCUUAAAUUGGUUGGUUGUACUUAAGUGUUUAGUGUCUUUUGAUGUGUUUUUAUUGUUUUUCUGUGCAGGUCACGAGUUGAGGUGAUGAAGUGAUUUUCUAUCAUUUUAGGGCGUUUUUGGUGCAUUAUUUGCAAGAAUAGAGAAUUCUGGAUUCAUCACGACUUGGGAUUUUGUGGGUACAUCUUCUACAAACCCUCACGAGAGCACACUCGUCCACUAGAGCUAUCUAGGGGUUUAAAGGGCUUGUUGCAUAUGCUAAAUGCAACCGUGAUCACCUACGGAAGUGGUACUAGAAGCGAGGAAGGACAUACACGCGAGAACGAGCGAGAAACGAAGAAACAGGGCCAACAGUGCAGACAGUAGCGCGCCCGCGCUACUUGUUAGCGCGCCCGCGCUACAGACUGCAACCACUAGCGCGCCUGCGCUAAGUUAGCGCGGCCGCGCCCAGCAGAACUUCCCCGGGCCGAUUUUUACAGCUUUUUAGUGGAUUUUCGCAGCGGUCGAGGCCCGUGUGACUUGGUCAAUGUAUUUUUUAUUUCUCGUGUGUAAAACCCUAGCGGUAUAGAAGUAGUUUUAGUAGAGAAUAAUAUCGUAAUUUUAGUUUAAUCAUUCAAGCACAUUAUCAGUUGUAUUAGAUCGUUCUUCGCGAGGAAGUGACAGUUUCGAGCGAGAUCGUGAACUUCAAUCUGUAACGUGUGAUCUUUAUUAUUAAUUCGAG